rnacentral:rRNA from 1 species
UACCUGCAGCUCGAGUGGUAACCGCUAUUAUUGGGCCUAAAGCGUCCGUAGCCGGUUUGGUAAAUAUCUGGGUAAAUCGUGAGGCUUAACUUCACGAAUUUCGGAUAGACCGCCAGACUUGGGAUCGGGGGAGGUCAGAGGUACUCCAGGGGUAGCGGUGAAAUGUUGUAAUCCUUGGAGGACCACCGGUAGCGAAGGCGUCUGACUAGAACGAGUCCGACGGUGAGGGACGAAGCCCUGGGGCGCAAACCGGAUUAGAUACCCGGGUAGUCCAGGGUGUAAACGAUGUGGGCUUUGUAUUGGAGGUCCCACGUGGGCGUCCAGUGCAGAAGAGAAGUUGUUAAGCCCACGCCUGGGAAGUACGGUCGCAAGGCUGAAACUUAAAGGAAUUGGCGGGGGAGCACAGCAACGGGAGGAGCGUGCGGUUU